UACGUAGGGGGCAAGCGUUGUCCGGAUUCAUUGGGCGUAAAGAGCGUGUAGGCGGCCAGGUAGGUCGGUUGUGAAAACUGGAGGCUCAACCUUCAGAGGUCGACCGAAACCAUCUGGCUAGAGUCCGGGAGAGGAGAGUGGAAUUCCUGGUGUAGCGGUGAAAUGCGCAGAUAUCGGGAGGAACACCAGUGGCGAAGGCGGCGAUCUGGGAAGAUACUGACGCUGAGGUGCGAAAGCGUGGGGAGCAAACAGG
rnacentral:rRNA from 1 species